rnacentral:rRNA from 1 species
UACGUAGGGGGCAAGCGUUGUCCGGAAUCAUUGGGCGUAAAGCGCGUGUAGGCGGCCCGGUAAGUCCGCUGUGAAAGUCCAAGGCUCAACCUUGGAAUGCCGGUGGAUACUGUCGGGCUCGAGUCCGGAAGAGGCGAGUGGAAUUCCUGGUGUAGCGGUGAAAUGCGCAGAUAUCAGGAGGAACACCGAUGGCGAAGGCAGCUCGCUGGGACGUGACUGACGCUGAGACGCGAAAGCGUGGGGAGCAAACAGGAUUAGAAACCCC